UUAAUAGUCAGUCUUCAAUGAGUUACAGAGCAGAAGAAUCCGAAUGUAAGAUCUUUUCUCUGUAGAGUGAAGCACUGAGCAAAGAAGUCGCCAUCAGCACAGAAACCCUCCAGACGUCCAGAUCAGAGAUAACAGAUAUGAAGCGCACACUGCAGAGUCUAGUGAUCGAGCUGUAGUCUCAGCUCAGCAUGAAAGCGCCUCUCCAGUCUAGAAGAACAGCUGGCGCAGCUCCGUGCUGACCUGGAGCAGCAGGGUCAGGAGUACAAGAUGCUUCUGGAUGUGAAGACCAGACUGGAGCUGGAGAUUGCCGAGUACAGAAGACUGCUGGAUGGAAAGACAAGCGGCACCAACACAUUCAGAUUUCCUGAGAAAAACUUAAGAAGGAUCUUAAGACAAACACUAAGAAGUUCAUAAGACUGGGCCUCAUUCACUGAUGC
ensembl:lncRNA